GAGCAGAAGAGAGCUGUAGGCUGAGUCUGGCUCCUGGCACCUGGAAUUGGAGGCAGGUGGUUUAAAAACGGGCUCUCCCACCCUCUGUGUGAUAUUAGGCAGGUACCAUUUUGGAGAACUACAUAUUGUGCCUCAGCAAGCCAAAGUAGCCCAUUUUUCCUCUCUCACUGGGAGAGAUUGCUGUUUCUUGGAGAACCUGAUGAAGAGGGUGACUCGCACUUAGGAAUAACGUUGCUUGAAAAGUGCAAAAGGUUCUGGGGAGGAUUAAAUGAGCUCAUGGGAUAUCCAGGUGACUGAGGCAGAGUCGGCUCGGGAUGAAUCUUUGCUUCGUUUUCAUUAGCUGCGGAGAAGACGAUGACAGCUUGGUGCCUCUCCAACUUUACUAUGGGCGAGCAGAAGAGAGCUGUAGGCUGAGUCUGGCUCCUGGCACCUGGAAUUGGAGGCAGGUGGUUUAAAAACGGGCUCUCCCACCCUCUGUGUGAUAUUAGGCAGGUACCAUUUUGGAGAACUACAUAUUGUGCCUCAGCAAGCCAAAGUAGCCCAUUUUUCCUCUCUCACUGGGAGAGAUUGCUGUUUCUUGGAGAACCUGAUGAAGAGGGUGACUCGCACUUAGGAAUAACGUUGCUUGAAAAGUGCAAAAGGUUCUGGGGAGGAUUAAAUGAGCUCAUGGGAUAUCCAGGUGACUGAGGCAGAGUCGGCUCGGGAUGAAUCUUUGCUUCGUUUUCAUUAGCUGCGGAGAAGACGAUGACAGCUUGGUGCCUCUCCAACUUUACUAUGGGCGAGCAGAAGAGAGCUGUAGGCUGAGUCUGGCUCCUGGCACCUGGAAUUGGAGGCAGGUGGUUUAAAAACGGGCUCUCCCACCCUCUGUGUGAUAUUAGGCAGGUACCAUUUUGGAGAACUACAUAUUGUGCCUCAGCAAGCCAAAGUAGCCCAUUUUUCCUCUCUCACUGGGAGAGAUUGCUGUUUCUUGGAGAACCUGAUGAAGAGGGUGACUCGCACUUAGGAAUAACGUUGCUUGAAAAGUGCAAAAGGUGAGGUAGUUUGGCUCUGAGGGGCCUCUGAGGCCUGAGACUUCCUGAGAGAUGGCAGACUCACAGCUCCCAUUUCCCUCUGACCCUGGGCUAUGAGCUCAUCAAAUGAGAUGGUAAAUAAAG